rnacentral:rRNA from 1 species
AUGUGAUCGUCUCUCGCAUAUCAAUAAGCGGAGGAAAAGAAACUAACAAGGAUUCCCCUAGUAACGGCGAGUGAAGCAGGAAGAGCUCAAAUUUGAAAUCUUAAAGGGUUUCCCUUUACGAAUUGUAGUUUAAAGAAGUGUUUUCUGUUGAGGUUUUGGUAAAAGUUCUUUGGAAUAGGACAUCAUAGAGGGUGAGAAUCCCGUAUUUGACCUUUACUUUCAACUUUGUGAUACACUUUCAAAGAGUCGGAUUGUUUGGGAAUGCAGUCCAAAAUGGGUGGUAAAUUUCAUCUAAAGCUAAAUAUUGGCGAGAGACCGAUAGCGAACAAGUACCGUGAGGGAAAGAUGAAAAGAACUUUGAAAAGAGAGUUAAAACAGUACGUGAAAUUGUCAAAAGGGAAGCGUUUGACACCAGUGUUGUUUUUCUGAAAAUCAAUUAAAGAACUGUUUAUGCUAAGUUGUUUAGACUUUAUCAGCUAACUGUUUAGUUUUGAGCUUUUCUUUAAUGCACUUUUCAGUUAACAAGUCAACAUCAAUUUCUUUUGCUGUAAAAAAGCUUGAGGAAGGUGGCUUGAGAUUCGUCUUAAGUGUUUAUAGCCUCUUGCCUAUGCAGUCGGAGAGAUUGAGGUCUGCAGCGUAGAUCCUUCGGGGCUAAAUGCAUUUGUGCUAAGUUAUAGCAUUUUAUAGACAACUUGUUGACUAUGAUUUGUCUUGUAGCUUACUCGCUUAUGUUAUUUUACCUACGCUUAGGAUGUUGAUCUACAGAGCGAGAGU